AACGAACGCUGGCGGCAUGCCUAACACAUGCAAGUCGAACGAAGGCUUCGGCCUUAUUGGCGCACGGGUGCUUAACGCGUGGGAAUCUGCCCUUUGCUUCGGUAUAACAGUUAGAAAUGACUGCUAAUACCGGAUGAUGUCGCACGACCAAAGAUUUAUCGGCAAAGGAUGAGCCCGCGUAGGAUUAGCUAGUUGGUGGGGUAAUGGCAUACCAAGGCGACGAUCCUUAGCUGGUCUGAGAGGAUGAUCAGCCACACUGGGACUGAGACACGGCCCAGACUCCUACGGGAGGCAGCAGUGGGGAAUAUUGGACGAUGGGCGAAAGCCUGAUCAAGCAAUGCCGCGUGAGUGAUGAAGGCCUUAGGGUUGUAAAGCUCUUUUAGCCGGGAUGAUAAUGACAGUACCGGGAGAAGAAGCACCGGCUAACUACGUG
rnacentral:rRNA from 1 species